UAGGGGAACCAUUUCUGUAUCAGAUUGAGUUUUGCACCUGAACCCGACAUUGUAGGGGAACCAUUUCUGUAUCAGAUUGAGUUUUGCACCUGAACCCGACAUUGUAGGGGAACCAUUUCUGUAUCAGAUUGAGUUUUGCACCUGAACCCGACAUUGUAGGGGAACCAUUUCUGUAUCAGAUUGAGUUUUGCACCUGAACCCGACAUUGUAGGGGAACCAUUUCUGUAUC